rnacentral:rRNA from 1 species
AAUGAACGCUGGCGGCAUGCCUAACACAUGCAAGUCGAACGAAACCUCCGGGCUUUGUGGCGUACGGCUGCGGAACGCGUGGGAACCUGCCCUUAGGUUCGGUAUACCUCCCCGAAAGGGGUGCUAAUACCGGACAAGGUCUUCGGACCAAAGAUCUAUUGCGUUUGGUUGGGCUCUCGUUGGAUUCGCUGGUUGGUAGGGUAAAAGCCUACCAGGGCCACGAUUCAUAGAUGGUCUGAGAGGCUGAUCAGCGACACUAAGACUAAGACGCGGCCCAGACUCAUACGCAAGGGAGGAAAGGGGAAUAGUGGAACAUGGACGAAGUGCUGAACAGCCACUGACAGGUGAAUGAUGAAAGCCUUAGAGUUGUAAUGCUCUUUUAACCGGGGUGUUAUUGACAGUACCGGGAGAAUAAGCACCGGCUAACUCCGUG